UGUAAUAAGGGAGGGAAGAAUAUAUUUUCAGCCAGUGUUUUUGGAUCCCCUUAGACUGCAUUUGGCUAUUUCUGUAAACCCUGAAUCUAACAACUGUGAAAUAGAGACAUUACUAAAGUGUGGGAGAUCAUUAGGGUUUUGAUGCCAUCUUAGAAGCAAACAAGACUGAGGACUACUUGAUUGCUACAGACUAACUUUGUCUUCUGCGUUCAAAAGUAAAGCCAGCCUCCUUCCUCAUAAGACAGAACAAUGGUAAGAAGCAGCAGCUCCAGGUGUUAAUGGAAGAAAGGGUUUUGAGGCACAAAGGGCAGGCUGGAAGGGAUCCCCCAAUGAGUUAGAGUUAGGAGGAGGAAGCAUCUGGCCUGGAAUGGUUACUUUUCCAUUAAUGUGAAAAUAUUGAUGUUACCAUUAUCUUUACUCUUAGCUUGGUUAUUAAUCUUAAGGUUUCUCAGCUAUUCUCUGCUGAAGAAAAUAAACCGAGUUGUUCUUUUUGUGUGGAAUUGAACAAAGGACUUAGUUCAGAGGAACUGUUCCUAAUGCCAUCAAUUUGAAGUCCAGAUGAAAGUUUUUCCAGGCAUCGCACCCAGGCAGCUACAUGGCAAUAAAAGUGUUUUAUCUGGAAGAUGUGUGAAGCUAGAAAAAAAAUAUAUAGAUACAAAGCAUACUUUGUUAGAAUUUCCGGUGGGGGGAAGAGAUUCUCUGUUUCUGAGUCACACCAUUUUGCUGAUUUCUUUUAAAAAAGAAAAAAUGGGACAUUCUAGCUUGAUACAACUGGAGAGGAAAUCAGCUUGAUCCAGCUGUCUGAGGCAUCAGAAAUGAUUGCAGCUGGCUAAUCUCUAAUUAUAGAAUCUCUAUUAUUGGUGAUGUAAGUGGCUGAAUCUGUGGUUUGACUUCUGUGAUCCCUGGCUUUGUGAAAAGCUGGGAUUUUGAGGUAAUGUUUUUUCCCUCUGUAUGAUAAACUAAACAAAUUUAAAUUAAUUCUUGGGGCAAAUAUCAUUGAGGAGCUGAAGAUGAUAGUUUUGUUCCUUUGGCUGACUAGAUUAUGCCCUAACUGUGACUUUGGAUGAAACUAUUAAAUCCUAUUUCCAUGGGAUUCAGUCCAGAGCACUCAGCUCUGACGUCCUAAGGUAUUUGGAGAGGCCAAGGUCAACAUCAGCAAUUCUGAGUUUCAGAGAAAGUUUAUUUCUCUAAUGGUUUGUGUUUAGAGAAGAUUUCAGCAGAAUUACUGCAUCUCGACUUUACCCUGAACCCUUCAUUGAUCAUCUGCCUUCUUGCUCUCAUUCUUUCCACCAGUUCUGUUUUUACAGACUGAUUUAGAGGGAAGCAAGUGGUGAGGCAAAUCAUCACUGUCAAUGUAUUCAUCUACUCAGGCUGCCAUAAAAAAUAGCAUAGCCUGGGGACUUAAAACAACAGACAUUUAUUUCUCACAGUGCUGGAGGCUGAGAAGUCCAAGGUCAACGUCCUGGCUGAUUCCUGUUCCUGGUGGGAGCCCUCUUCCUGGCUUGCAGUUGAUGGUCUCGCUGUGUUCGUGCAUGAUGGUUAGGGAGAGUCUUUCCCAGCAUCAGUGUCUUUUCCAGUGAAUCGGCUCUUUGCAUCAGGAAACACUGAUGAUUGAUCAAUUCUCCAGUGCUCUUUCUGGCUGGACUGGGACCACACCUCGGAAACAAUGUUCUGGGAAGCUAGUACCAUCAGCCAUGUUGGCCUAACAGCAUGACAUCUGUUUGUUAUCCCUGCAAAGGGAAGGAAGGAAUGUCUAAAACAGGAAAGCCUCAUUACCUGCAGGUAGUUUGUCUUGGAAAAAGCCCACUGAAGGUGAGUCACUUAAAACAGGAGCUAACAUUUCAAAGUGAAUAGAAAAAAUGAGGGAUGAAUAGAGCUUUAUCUUGAAAAAGAAAGUAGAACUGAAUAAUCACUCUUUCAUUCUAUUUCUCAAAUAUUUACUGAGUACCUACCCUGGUAGACACCAAUUUCAGCCCUGGGGAUGCAGUAGUGAAUAAGACUCAGAAUCUUUUUUUUCAAAGAGCCCCCAUUCCAGUAGAAGAGGCAAUUAUAACACAAAUAAAUAUUAAAUGUCAAGUAGUGACAGUUCCUAUGAAGAAAAGACAGAAUAAAGUGAUGGGAGCUGCUAAUUUCGGAAGUUUGGUCAGGGAUGUUUUCCCCAAGGAAGCAUAUUUGAGCAGAUCUGGGGGUGGUUUUCCCAGCAAAGGGAAUAGCGAGUACAAAGUGCCAAGGGAGGGAUCAAGUUCACCUGUUAUAGUAAGCGCAGGGAGACCACUAUGAUUGAAGCUAAGUCUCGAGUUGUCUCAGGGCCAGGGUGCAUAUGGCCUGGUAGGUCAUGUGAAGUUCCUCAGUCGUGUCCGACUCUUUGCAACCGCAUGGACUGUAGCCUACCAAGCUCCUCUGUCCAUGGGAUUUUCCAGGCAAUAGCACUGGAGUGGAUUGCCAUUUCCUUCUCCAUGGUAGGUCAUGGGUAAACAGUAAAUAUAUUAUAAAAAUGUUCUUAGUUUAUAUUAGCAAUAUAAUUUAUAAUAGUGAGCUAAUUCUUAGAAAUAGUCAAGAAUAAAUUAUGCCCAUUGGAGGGUAGAUACAUAUGUGUAUGUGUGUAUGUGUAUAUAAUUUUUCUGCAAAAAUUUUAAUAGCUCAUCUAAUGUUCACUUCACAUUUGACAUGUACUGCAUAAUUAUAAAAAGGUAAUGUUUACAAAAUUAAUCAAGGGCUUCAUAAAUUUUUCUAAGAAACACUCUUAAUCCUUUGAUGUUUAACUCAUUCCCUUUAAUAUUUACAUGUUACCAUCCUUGUCAAAUUUUUAUUCAUUAGUCGUUAUUGCCAAAACCUCAUUUAUCAUUGGAGAAGGAAAUGGCACCCCACUCUAGUACUCGUGCCUGGAAAAUCCAUGGACAGAGGAGCCUGGUAGGCUACA